rnacentral:rRNA from 1 species
GACGAACGCUGGCGGCGUGCUUAACACAUGCAAGUCGAACGGAAAGGCCCUGCUUUUGUGGGGUGCUCGAGUGGCGAACGGGUGAGUAACACGUGAAUAACCUGCCCUUGACUUUGGGAUAACUUCAGGAAACUGGGGCUCAUACCGGAUAGAAGAUCCCGCUCCGUGUGGGUGGUUGGAAAGUUUCGGCGGUGGGGGAUGGACUCGCGGCUUAUCAGCUGUUUGGGGGGGUAGUGGCUUACCAAGCUUUUGACGGGUAGCCGGCCUGGGAGGGGGACCGGCCACAUUGGGACUAAGAUACGGCGCAGACUCCUACGGGAGGCAGCAGUGGGGAAUAUUGCACAAUGGGCGGAAGCCUGAUGCAGCAACGCCGCGUGCGGGAUGACGGGCUUCGGGUUGUAAACCGCUUUCGCCUGUGACGAAGCGUGAGUGACGGUAAUGGGUAAAGAAGCACCGGCUAACUACGUG